UUCAACAAUUUGGAGAAUAAGAAAGGUCUCAAGAGCUCUCUCUUCUUCGUUUCGAGAAUCAAAGGCAUCGUAACAAAGCAAAGGUAAGUGAACUUAUUUGAUUCACUAUAAUAUGUCCAGUGUAAUACCCCGGAAUUUUAAUAUUAGUUUCUAAUAUUCUUUUGGAAAUUAUUUAAGUAAGAGUUGUAUGGAUUUGUGGUUUAGCGAGUGGACUGGAAGUAGUCGAGUUUUUAAUUCCGUGAAAAUGCUCUAUUUUGAAGGGUUAAGAGUUGACUUUUUAAUCAGUUGGGUUUCUCGGGAAACUUUCUUCACGAAAGCUGUAGAGUAUGGCGAUACGAGUUCGUAGACACGUGACACGCGUAAAACGGACUUCGUAUGAAGAAGUUAUGGUCAGCAGAAGUCCGUGGUUUUUCAGAAAACCCUCUUUUUCUCUUCCCUUCUCUCCCGCACCUCACCCUCACUGUCAAAGUUUUUCAGCUGACCGACCCGGACCCGGAUGACCCGACCCGAGUUUUCCGGCCGACUCCGGCCGACCCAGACGACGGCACCGGUCGGAAAAUCUUCCUCUCCUCGGCGCAAUCUUCCCUGUGUUAGUGAGUGAGGGCGACUCGGCCGGAUCGAUGCUAAUCGAUCGCCAACAGGGAGGGCAGCGACCCGGUUUGCAACCCGACCGGAAUUCUCCCUCCGGCGGCGGCGACGCAGCUUGGAACCGAUCGGGAUAGGCUCUCCUUGGUGCCCUGGUUCUUUUUCUGGUAGUCUCCUAGCAUGACUCACGGUGUAGAGUUACAGUGGUGGAUUUCCACCUUCCUACGAGUUUCCGGCAUGCUCCGGCCGUUUUAGGUGAAACCUCAGGUAUAAAAGAUGCUCCUCUCUCUUCAAUCUACAAGUUUUGUGUUAUGAGCUUGGGCUAAUUCGUAGGUUGGUAGGGUGGCGCGUGGGGCCCACUUGCCGCCGGCGCGUGGCGGCGCCUUCGGCAGAGAUUGGGUGGUUAGGAGUAAUUGUUAGGUUGUGCUUGUCGAUACGAGUACGUGAGCAUGUAGAUUGUAGGUUUCAAUGUUGCUUGAGUAUGUUGGGGCUUUGCCGAAAGUCGUUUCUUUCGGUGUUGGUUUAUGGAAUCUGAACAUAGAGGUAAUCAUUUUUGGUUAUCAUAGGCUGUUCAUGGGUUUCGGUGACCUUGGGAGGUCUCAUACGAGGAUUGCCUCGUUAUGGUAAAUCUUUGGGUUAGGUUUUAGCUAGUUGGCGUAAAGGGUAAUCACUUGGUUGUUAGUGACAAAGUUGGUCAUUAAGUUGAUCGCUUGUUUUGUUGGUCACUAAGUUGUUUUGUGCUACCUAGGUGAUUGACAAAGUUGGUGUUGUGCUUGUGUUGUGCGUGCGAAGACGCAGCUGGAUUUGAGGUGAGUAACAUCUCACCAAGGUCCACUUUGGGACCAAAUAUUUAUAAAUUAUUAUGAUGAUGAUUGUGAUGUUGAUUUUGGAGNNNNNNNNNNNNNNNNNNNNUUUUCUGUUAAAAAUAAAUCUUUCAAAAGGACUUUCGAUCAUGUGAUAUGGUGAUGUUGAAAUAUGGUUGUUGAUAGAUUAUUCUAGUGGGAAUAUCUAUGUCUUUGUUUAUAUAAAUAUAUCUAGGUGGAAAGAUAUAAUUUAUGAAGUGCUCUUGUGAUGUUGUUGAUGAUAUUUUUAUAUUUGAAUUGUUGUUUAAAUAGUCAAACCGGGUUCCUAGCCUUUAAUCGGGUGAUAGGUUACGGUUAUGAUUAUAUUAUUAUUUUGUGAUUUGAUAAGUGUUAUGUUGGGAGAGUAUUGGAAUGUGUGCCUUAGUGGUGAUUGUGUGCAUUAGUUGUGUAUGUGUGUGCCUUAGUGGUGAUUGUGUGCAUUAGUUGUGUAUGUGUGUGCCUUUGUGGUGAUUAUUAGAUUAGGAGCCUUCGUGGUGGACCGGGAACCAAGCCUUGGCCGGGUGAUUGGUUACGGUCAGUAUAGAGCUCUAGUCUGUCAGUUGGUACUUCAUAGGGGAUGACUAAGUGUUGGCGAACCCAUGAGUACGCAUUUGUUUGGUUACUUAUGGGGGAUGACUAAGUGUUGGCGAACUCAUAAGUAAGAGUAGAGAAAUGUUUGUGUGAUGUUCUUAUGUGUUGUUUAAAUUUCUUGCUUUGAGUAUCUCUUGAACUAUGCUUAUUCGCAGGAGAUUCUUAAAUCUUAAUUGUGUGAUUUUAAUAGAAUUCUUGAACUAUGUUUAUUUGUAGGAUUCAUUUAUGAUUUUGAGUGAUUUUAAAUUAUUAUGUUUUCUUAAUUGUUUCUUUUGAAUUCUCUUACUUUUAGGCGAUUCCUGAACUAAGUUGCUAAUACAGGAAUUACCAGUUUUAAUUAUAUGUGAUGUUGGGAUUGUUGGGUUAUUAUUUUGGGAGUUACUCAUACGAGCUUUUUAGCUUACUGGGUUUGUUGUUUACAACCCGGUGCACCAACUCAUAGUGUAGGGGUUAGACCUGUAGGUGAUGAUCAGAAGGUAGGAGGCAGUGGCCUACGAGCUAGGUUUUUGACGAUAUACAAUUAUUUGUUUUUUAUGGUAGUUGUUUUUAAGCUCAUGUAAGCGAAGUAGUUUUUAGUUGACUUUUGGAAGUUAAUGUAAUUAAGGAGAUUAAAUGUUUAACUCGGUUGAUGAGUUUAUCGACAUUUAUAUUUUCAGUAUUUGUUUUUAGUUUUAGAAAUUGUUGAGCAGGAUUAUGGGAUAUUAAGAUUUUGAGUUUUAUCAUGCCCAAAUUUUUGAAAAUUUUAUCCUUCGAAAAUUGGGGUGUGACAGUUUGGUAUCAGAGCAUAGGUUUACAUAUUUGGUGAUAAUCAAUAUUUUGAAAUGAUGGCCCGACUGCAGCGGAUCACCAUCAUAAGCUCUUCGGUAUUGAUAUGUCAUUGGGUAUGUGAAGGGUUAGGUGUUGUCUCUAGGUCAAUAGGAUGUCAGAGUAGAGAAUAGUCUGUUAGUGGGAUUUUGAAUCUUGGUGGUCCAUCUUAAGUUAGUGCCUUGGUUAAUAAAUGUCGCAUUUGACUUAUACUUGGAUUUAAGUUCUAUGCAUGAGUUAACCAAGGUUUACUUGCUUCUUAGGUGAUGGAUCCUCAGCGAGGGAGAGCUAGAGGCAGAGGUAGGGCCAGAGGGGCCCGUAGAGCCAGAGGGGCAGGUGAGGCCAGAGGCAGAGGUAGUUGUUUUUAAGCUCAUGUAAGCGAAGUAGUUGUUACUAGACUUUUGGAAAUUAAUGUAAUUAAGGAGAUUAAAUGUUUAACUCGGUUGAUGAGUUUAUCGACAUUUAUAUUUCCAGUAUUUGUUUUUAGUUUUGGAAAUUAUUGAGCAGGAUUAUGGGAUAUUAAGAUUUUGAGUUUUAUAAUGCCCAAAUUUUUGAAAAUUUUAUCCUUCGAAAAUUAGGGUGUGACAUCCGGUCCUAAAUUUGGUUGUUUGGUGAAGUUCUAAACUACUAUAUCUUGUCCUACAUAUGUACAGGUUUUGAAAGUAAACUUAUAAAACAGAUAACCACAUAUGCCCUAGUUUGAUGCAAUGUGAAACUGAGCCGUUUGAUGCAAUUGUUUCUUACUUUAAUUGAUGCUCUUAUUGAUCCUCGAAGGCUGGGUACAUCUUUCAACGUAAAGGCAGUUGAUGAAUUUGUCUCAGACUCUUGUUUAUGGAUACUUCAAAAUUAUUCUCGUGCCCAGAUUCUUUUGAAGAAUUCAGUUUUAUUCUGUAUAAAUAUAUAUAUAUAUAUAUAUUAUAUAUAUAUAUAUAGGCCGGAUGUGGAGCGCACGUCCGCACUGUCCUUAAAGUGCGCACGUCCCUCCG
rnacentral:lncRNA from 1 species